AAUAGAUACCCGGGUAGUCCACGCCGUAAACGAUGAAUACUAGGUGUAGGGGUUGUCAUGACCUCUGUGCCGCCGCAAACGCAUUAAGUAUUCCGCCUGGGGAGUACGGUCGCAAGAUUAAAACUCAAAGGAAUUGACGGGGGCCCGCACAAGCAGCGGAGCAUGUGGUUUAAUUCGAAGCAACGCGAAGAACCUUACCUAGACUUGACAUCUCCUGAAUUACUCUUAAUCGAGGAAGUCCCUUCGGGGACAGGAAGACAGGUGGUGCAUGGUUGUCGUCAGCUCGUGUCGUGAGAUGUUGGGUUAAGUCCCGCAACGAGCGCAACCCUUAUUGUUAGUUGCUACCAUUAAGUUGAGCACUCUAGCAAGACUGCCCGGGUUAACCGGGAGGAAGGUGGGGAUGACGUCAAAUCAUCAUGCCCCUUAUGUCUAGGGCUACACACGUGCUACAAUGGCAAGUACAAAAGAUGCAAUACCGCAAGGUGGAGCUAAACUUAAAACUUGUCUCAGUUCGGAUUGUAGGCUGAAACUCGCCUACA
rnacentral:rRNA from 1 species